AUUGAACGCUGGCGGCAUGCUUUACACAUGCAAGUCGAACGGUAACAGGCCUUCGGGUGCUGACGAGUGGCGAACGGGUGAGUAAUGCAUCGGAACGUACCCAGAGGUGGGGGAUAACGCAGCGAAAGCUGUGCUAAUACCGCAGGUGAUCUGAGGAUGAAAGCGGGGGACCGAGCAGCAAUGUUUGGCCUCGCGCCUUUGGAGCGGCCGAUGUCGGAUUAGCUAGUUGGUGGGGUAAAGGCCUACCAAGGCGACGAUCCGUAGCUGGUCUGAGAGGACGACCAGCCACACUGGGACUGAGACACGGCCCAGACUCCUACGGGAGGCAGCAGUGGGGAAUUUUGGACAAUGGGCGCAAGCCUGAUCCAGCAAUGCCGCGUGCGGGAAGAAGGCCUUCGGGUUGUAAACCGCUUUUGGCAGGAACGAAACGGUGUCCGCUAAUACCGGGCGCUAAUGACGGUACCUGCAGAAUAAGCACCGGCUAACUACGUG
rnacentral:rRNA from 1 species